ACCUCUGAGGUCUUAAGCACGUCAAAACUUAAAACAUAGAACUUACGACUCUUAUGCUCCCAAACACUGACCACAGCACAAGAACAGCUGAAUCACAUGAACAAGUUCGGCCUCGACGCCUUGAACGUGGUCUUCAGCUUCCUGGUUGGGGGCCUGAUCUUGCGGGAGACGAGGGGGAACUUGAUCUUCGAGUUGUGGAACUGCUUGGUGUUGUCCCUCUUGCACAGCUUGAAGUGGACCGUGGCAGUCUUGAUGAUCUGGAUGCAGGGCGCCCUCACACGGUGGCGGGAAGCCAUCUCAUUGUACAUCUGCUCCACUGCACCGUUCAGGGUGGUGUCACGGUACUCCUUGUACAUGUUGUGGUAGCCGGUUCUGCUCUGGUAGCGCAGCCAGAUGCCAUAGUUCUUGAUCGUAGUUGGGUUACGCUCAAAGAUCUGAAACAACAUACAGAACUUUGUGAGUGCUACAACACAAAGAACACCAUUUUGUGGAUCAUUGUCUAACAAUCAUUUAUGCAAAGUGCUCAAAAGGUCAAAAUAACAAACAUAAUGUUAACGUGUAAUCAAACACUCAGACAAUAACCCCACUGGAGCUGCCAGCCAUCCGGGAUAAUCUCAAUACCUAGUUGGUUCCCAAUGCAGUUUAAAUACAGCUAACACAUCUGACAGUGCAGACAGCAAUAUUUAGGUGACAAGGAGACAAGACUGCUCAUUUUCUGAGAUCAUGGCAAUACUUAGAUUGAUUAUUGCAACGUGUUCAUUGUAUUAGAGGCAACAUUCAGAAAUACCCAAUACACAACUAGCUGAUAGUGGGUGAAAACAGACCCCAAAACAAAAUAAAUUUGGUGAUAUAACUACAAAUCAAACAAUUGCGACCAUAAUGGCAUACACCAACAGCUCGGUACAAUGUAAUUAUGUCAUCAGUUUGCCAAUCCUAGGCUAUAUCAAAUCAACAGCAGUGCUGAGCUACAAUCUCCAGACAAACUUCCACUCAUAAUAUAUUGCUUACUAAAGGUCAUACUAACAUCAAAACAAUAUUAAUAUUGGAGACCGUGACUCCCGGAGACAAACAUGGUUGGGCGUCCGGAACAUAGCGACCAUACACAAAUUGUUAGAAGCAUGGUGCUAAACAAGCAGCGAUAGGAUAGCAAGGUUCAUAUGGAGCAAUCUGAUGUGCUAAAAAAGGCGUGCAUAUCGCAGAAGCAGGCGUACCUCGUUGAUGGCGAGGACCUGGCCGUUGCUCUUCUUAACCUUCUUGAGCUUCCUGAGGAAGUACCUGCACACGGGCAACAGCCGGAGUUUAGGUGCCAACUCAGAUCGAAGAUGAACGAAAGCCUUCGACAAAGAAAUCUGCAGAAAGCGCGGAGAUUACGGCUUACCAGAACUUGCUCUUGGCGCGGACCUCGUUGGUGGCCCAGAGCUUCAUGCGGUAGAUCUUGGGGUGCUCAUCGCCGGGCGUCGGCAGCGCGCGCCCCACGACCUGGU
rnacentral:lncRNA from 1 species